AACUUUCAACAACGAAUCUCUUGGUUCCGGCAUCGAUGAAGAACGCAGCGAAAUGCGAUAAGUAAUGUGAAAUGCCCGUACGCUCGAUUACGAACUCUCACCUAUUCGUACUGUAAAUCCUACUCCCACCGGUCUCA
rnacentral:rRNA from 1 species